rnacentral:lncRNA from 1 species
CUUGGUAAACCUUGGGUGGACUGGGGAGAACUGAGGAGGGGAAGCGCUUUUUUGUUGCUUCUCUGUGUUUUCUAUUUUAUUUUAUUUAUUUUAUUUUUAGAUUUUCAGUUCUUAUUUCACCCAGGGAAGGAGACCUGGGUAUCCACCCCAUGUCCUCCAGAGAACUUCCCUGGCCCCGCUCGGAGUCUUCCUGGGACGCCACAGGCUCGGAGAGCGCUCCGCAGGUUUCUCCCCCGGCGCCUCCAAAUCUUUCGAUUCCUACUCGAAUUACUCCGUCAGCUGCUGGAAGAGGGGCAAGGGAGCCAGGAGGACUUCUGGAGCCCGCCCAGCAAGACCCUCUCUCUCCCAUCUUCUGCUCAAGGGCUCGAGGUCUCAGUGGACAGAGCUGAAGAAAAGCCGUCUAUGGAGCCUGCGCCAGGCGCAGACUGGGUCGUCGCAGUCUGGGUCGUCGCAGUCUGGGCCGGGGCGCUGGAAGUCUUACUCACUUCUCAAGAACCCGCAAGGGAUCAGGCCUGACCCUUUGCAAGUGACAGAAUCCAAAGCUUUGAGCUCAUGGGAAAGUGGCUGGAAAGAAGGUCACUGUAGGGCCGCACAGGUCUCUGGCGAGGCUACCCAAGAACAUUUAAAUCCCUGCCCAGAGAAGAAGAGGCUCCAGCUGUCCUGCACCUUCCUGGGAACUGGCAGUCCCUCCGCGCAGGGGUUCUGCAGCGACCGGCAGCGCGAGGAGACAAGGAUGGUGGCCAGUUAACAGAAAAUCAAGGCAGCGGGAAAGGUCUGGAAAACACCACCUACUAUCACCUCUGGAGCCUGGGAUUAUGGGAUAAGUUUUCGAUUUUUAAAUGUAUUGUCAAAUAGCUAAAGUACACGGAAAGUGCGAAAUAAUAGUAAAUUGAACACCUGUGUAUUCACCACACAGCUUAAGCAAUAACAUUAGCAAUAUUUGGGUACCCAGCUGGUCUCAUUCCCUCAUUCCACUUGUCCCCUACUCACCUGAUAGCCAGUACAAUUUUAUGAAUUUAAAGUUACUAAUUCCCAUGCAACUGUUUAUACUUUUAGUAAAUGUGUUUAUGUCCCUCAUCAACACAUGACACUGAUUCAACACAUGUAUAUGCGUUUAAGCUGCAUGUAAAUGGCAUCAUGUUGGCCAGGUGCAGUUACUCACGACUGUAAUUCCAGCACUUUGGAAGGCUGAGAGGGAAGACGGCUUGAGGCCCAGAGUUUGAGACCAGCCUGGGCAACAUAGCAAGACCCUAUCUCUAAAAAAAAAAAAUUGUUUGUUUGUUUGUUUGUUUGUUUGAGACGGAGUCUUGCUGUGUCACUCAGGCUGGAGUGCAGUGGCGCAAUCUCGGCUUGCUGCAAUGUCGGCCUCCGGGGUUCAAGCAAUUCUCCUGCCUUGGCCUCCCAAGUAGCUGGGACUACAGGCACAUCCCACCACGCCCAGCUGAUUUUUGUAUUUUUAGUAGAGACAAGGUUUCACCAUAUUGGCCAUGCUGGUCUACGAACUCUUGACCUCAUGAUCUGCCUGCCUCGGCUUUCCAAAGUGCUGGAAUUACAGGUGUGAGCCCCCGCGCCCAGCCAAAAAAAUUGUUUUAAAUUAGCUGGGUGUGGUGGUGCCUGCCUAUGAAGUCCCAGCUACUCAGGAGGCUGAAGUGGGAAGAUGGCUUGAGCCCAGGAGUUGAAGGAUGCUAUGAGCUCUGAUUGUGCCACUGCACCCCUGCAUGGGCAAUAGAGUGAGACCCUGUCUCUUUAAAAAAAAAAAAAAAAGUAUCAUAUUGUAUGUGUUCUGUAGAACUUGCUCCCACACUUUAACAUUUUGCUUUAAAGAUUUGUUCAUGUACUUAGAUCAUUCCUUUUCACUGCUUUAUGAGCUGAAUCAUUUCUGCUCUUCUUUCCAUCCAUACCCAUUGGUCUCCAAAGUAUCCAGGCCUCCCCAAAAGUUCCUGCAGGAGACCUCAGUUCCACUGGCUUUCAGGUCAUUAUUGUUCCAGCACUACUUCUCCAUUUCUGGUUCCAGCCCUUCUCUCCCACAUUCUCAAGCUUCUAGAGGGUCAUAAGAGAGGAAAAACGCCAAAUGCCUUUGAUAAAAUGUUGCCUUUCCAGUGGUAUGCAUGUUUGUGUGGAGUGGGAGGGAAGUGAGGGCAGAUGUGACUUACUCUCAGCAUUAAUUCAAGUUUAAAAGUAAAAUCUUUAGGUUUGCCUUGUCCAGUAAAAAAUGCCAAGAGCCAUAACUGCUCAUUCUCUCUCUCUCUCUCUCUUCUCUCUCUCUCCUCUCUCUCUCUCUCUCAUACACACACUUGGUUAAUGCAAUAUUUACGUUGUUUUUGCUUCAACAAACUAAAGAGGAGAAGAGAGUUGGUAGGUUAAAGGGGCAGGUUAUUCUUUUUUUUUUUUUUUUUUUUGAGGCAGAAUCUCGCUUUGUCACCCAGGCUGGAGAGCAGUGGCUCGAUCUUGGCUCGCUGCAAGCUCUACCUCCCAGGUUCAUGCCAUUCUCCUGCCUCAGCCUCCUGAGUAGCUGGGACUACAGGUGCCCGCCACCACACCCAGCUAUUUUUUUUUUUUUUGUAUUUUUAGUAGAGACGGGGUUUCACUGUGUUAGCCAGGAUGGUCUCAGUCUCCUGACCUCAUGUUCCGCCCGCCUCGGCCUCCCAAAGUGCUGGGAUUACAGGCGUGAGCCACUGUGCCCGGCCAAAGGGGCAUGUUAUCUUAUUAAGGGCAGGCAGUCUCUCACAGAAAGAAUCACUGUAUUAGUGUAGGGAGAAUCACUGCCUAGGUCAGCCGUGUGUCAAUGACCUGUGUCACUGUCCUCAGUCUGCACAGUGAGACUGGAGGCUGCAUGCCAUGGUCUACAGAUCCCUCACUACAGAAAAUUUGCUUCAGCAUUCUCCGUGAGAGUCACAGGGAGAUUGAUUAUGGGGGUCAAUGCUCAAUGGCAUCAUGGCUGGCCAAGCUUUUUGCAGAAACUUUUACUAGGGGACUGAGGAUUAUAGCAGCAAGCAUCUUAGCAUAGAGCCUUAUCUGUGUUUCCACAGACUAUCUUUCAAACCCAAGCUACUUGUUUAUAAUAUUCACUUUUCAGGCAAAAACAUAUUUUCCACUUUUUUUCUUUUCUUGAUAAAAAGUUUAAAAAACAAAAUUUGCAUAAACACGUAUAUGAUGUUUCUUAGGAACAAUGUUUGCCAUUUGACAAAGUGUGGUGAAAUUUUGUCAGAACAAGUUUACUUGAAGGAGGGAUGAGACAUCCUUUAUCAAUGUUCAUAUGAAUCACACACAUCAGAGAGAGUGGGAGGGAGAAUCUUGGUUCUCUGGCACUCCCAGUACCCACAUUGAGAUCCGAGAGUGUCCUGAUGAUUUUCCUGUCUCAGUAAGUAAUUAAGCUUUUCCUGAAGGAGCUCAGUUAAGUCCAAGCUUAAUUUCAGUCAAGUCCAAUGUUUAAGUUGCUUUUUCAGCUACAUGAAAUGAAAGUGUGACUCAGAAUUUUCUCUCUAUAUCCCCUCAGAUCUUUAGCACACUGAGGGUAAUUACAGAGUCUCAAAGCAUAUCCCCACAAGAUGCUCUAUUUAUUACAAAGGAAAAAGACACUAAUUUUCCAGAGAAUCCUGGAAUAUAUCACCUCAACCAAGUGAUCAAAGUUAACAUCAUUAGUAACAGGACAAAUUAAAUUGCAUGCCACUAAAAGAACAAUUUUUAUUUCUUAUGUAUUCCUGACCCAAUAAAACAAAACAAAACAGCACAAUAGAAAGUAACUAUAAGGAAACAUUAGAGGGUUCAAUGGUGCCCACCUGUAGUCCAAGCUACUUGGGAGUUUGAGGCAGGAGGAUUGCUUGAGGCCAGGAGUUCAAGACCAGCCUGGGCAAUAUAGCAAGACCCUGUCUCAAAGUAAAAAGAAAAGAAAACGUUAAACCCAAACCCAAAUGGAAAGACUGUUCUAGAUUGAAGAACAUUAAAAAGACAAGACAAAGUCACCAUGUAAUCCUAGGCUGUAGCUCGGACUAGAAAAAAAAUUCUUUUUGCUGUAAAGGACACUCUGGCAAUUGUGAGAAUGCACUUCAAAGACCUCAACUUGGAGCUUAAUUCACAAAGCACCCCAGCUGCCUCACUUUGAAAUCCAUUGCACAUUUGUGUGAAGGCCAUGCUUCCAUGGGCUGCUCCCAGCUGAUGACUGAGUAUGGCAAGGACAGCAGGGCAGGCCUUCUCCUAGGAGACAAAGGAUGCCUCUAAUGGCCAACUUUUGCUUGACUUUGAGUAAAUAUCUGGCAUACUUCCACCCAAUCUUUUUCCCCUCUCCUCCACACAGGAUCAGACUUGCAUCAUUGUCUGACAGCUCUCUCAUCUUUCAUUGACUCCCAACUCUCAGCAACAUGGAAAUGCCCAAAUUCCCCUGACAUAUGGUAGAGGAAGAAAUAAAGAGUUUGAGGGAAAUGAGCAUGAAGGAAUGGAUAUAUUAGGUAAGACCAGAAGUAAUGCAGCUAGAGGAUUUUGUUCUAUGACAUGUCCCAGAUUACACGCCACUCACCAAGACUGCCAGAAAGCACUGGUGAGAGGGGCACCUGCAUCAAAGAAGUCCAGUGAUGGCUGUCCACUGCAUGCCAAAGAGGAUGGUAGGUGAGGCAGUCUCAAAGCUGGGCUCAUUAACACCCAUGGGAAUGCAUGAUGGGAGCCCUCAAAUAAUAGAAGCUAGGAGGUCACAAUUACCACAGUAACUGGCAUGGUUAGUCAGACAGCCACCGGGACUAGAGCCACAGGGAGUUGUGGAGAUGGUUAAUGGAGAAUGAUGUCCUUAGAGGCAAAAUAGACAGGCAGCCAAUAAGAAUGUUACUUAACAUCCAUAACCCACGAAGAGCAAUAAUAAAGGAGCAGGAAGCUAUGGGUGAUUGCCCCCAGUAAAAAGCCACAACUUCUUGUUUAGUUCUCAAACUCAAGUCAAUUUGCAGAUCUGGAACCCACUGGCUGAAGUGAUGGGUCCCCAGGAGGAAGAAUCUUACAAUGCCAUGGCAAAUGUAUGCCAUGACAAUUCCUCCAGCUCUUCCCCAAAGGUACCUAUGGGCAUUUACUCAUGUGACCAUAUGCUGGGGAAAGGAAAUAACCAGACAUUUCAAGGUCUGUUGAAUAUGGGAUGUGAGUUAACACUGAUACCCAGAAACCUGAAAUAUCAUCAUAGUGCCUGUUACAAUGGGACAAGGUAAUGAAUGGAGUUCUGUCUGAAAUCUGACUCACAGUGGUUCAUUUGGUCUGUGGAUGAUUUCCCAAGCAGCCAAGUGCAUAGUUGGACUAUCCCCAACAUUAGGCCCGGGUCGGUAAAGCAUAACUAUUAUAGUGGGGACGGCCAAAUGGAAACCUCUGAAGCUGCCCACAACUCAGCCAAGAUGAUAAAUAAAAAUCAGUUUCAUAGUGUAAGAGAUGCGUGCCACUAUUAAAGAACUAAAGGAUGCAGGGAAGGCAGUUCCCGUUAUAUUUUCAUUUAAUUUGUUAGCCUAGCCCCUGAAGAAAUUGGCAAGAUCCUGAAGAAUGACUAUAGACUACCACAGGCUUAACCGAGGAGUAACUCUGAUUCUGGCUGCUAUUUGGUGUCAUCUAGAUCAACGUUAGUAAGCCUUCAGGUGAAAAGUAUGUGAGCACUGAUUUGGCGAAUGCAUUCUCUUCCAUUCCAAUUGAAAAGAAGAUCAGAAACAGUUCACAUUCAUGUGGAACGGACAAAAAUAUUCAGUUACAUUUUGCUCCAGGGUUAUUUUAACUCUUGCUUUCAGUCAUAAUAUAGUACAAAGAAAUCUGCACCAUCUGGACAGCCCAGAGAACACCACAUGGACCCAUUACUUUGACAUCAUGCUUCUGAACAGAUGAACAAGUGGUGGCUCUAGGGGCCUUGGUAAGAUGUACACAUUCCAGAGGACUGGAGAUAAACCAUGCUAAGAUUUCAGGAACCAGCCACUCCUGUGAAAUUUUUAAGGGAUUCAGCAGUAAGAGUUGCACUAGGUGUCCCCUCCAUAGUAAAGGACAAAUUUCUGUAUCUUGCAUCCCCUACCGCAAAGAAGAAAGCAUAGCAUCUGGCAGGACUAUUUAACUUCUACAGGCAACAUACUCCAUACCAAAAAUACUACUCUGGACCAUAAAUCAGGUGACAUGUAGAGCUGCAUGCUUCAAGGGACCUAGAGCAGGAAGUACUGCAGCAGUACUGCAGUACAUGGCGCAAUCACACCCUGCAACUUGCACCUUACAAUCUGACAGCCUGUGGCAUUCUAUCUGGCAAUAGUUGGACAAUGCAGUAUGGGGAUCAUGGCAAGCCCCAGAGGGAGAAUCCCAAGGCAGGCACCUGGGAUUCUGGAACAAGGCCAUGACAUCCACAGCAGAGAAUUAUAUGCCAUUUGAGAAAUAGCACUUGCACGUUAGUGGAUCCUGAUAGAGACUGAACACUUAUCCUUGGGACACCAGCUAACCAUGCAUCUGAAACUGUCCAUGAUAAGCUGGAUUCUGUUGGACCUAACAAGUCCCCAAGUUGGAUGGGCCCAGAAGCAGAACGUGUUAAUGUGGAAAUCCAGAAUGGAACUUGAGCAGGAGCAAAGGACACAAUUAAGCUGCAGGAGCAGGUAGUCCAGACUCUCCUAUACUCCCCUAUGUCACUCACCACACUUGCACUAGUUUGCACCUAUUUCUCUACAGGAGCUAAAGAGGUGCCCAUACAACUAAGUGAAAGAGAAAAAAAAACUCAAGCAUAGCUUACAGAUGGGUUAGCUUAGUAUGUGCGUGCAGACCAGAAAUGAACUGUGACUGUGUUAUAGCCACAUGCUGUAGGGAGUAGUCCUGAAAGACAGUGAAAAGGGAAGAUUUUCUCAGUAGGCAGAGCUCUGAAUCAUGCACCUGAUUAUUCACUUUGUGUGGAAGGAGAAGUGGCCUGAAGUAAGAAUAAAUAAGCCGAGUGUAGGGGUGUGCACCUGUAGUCACAGCUUCUUCGGAGACUGAGGCAGGAGGAUCACCUGAGCCUGGGAGUUUGAAGCUACAGUGAACUAUGAUGGCACCGCUGCACUCCAGCCUAGGUGACACAGCAAGACACUGUCUCUUUUUUUAAAAAGAAGAAGAAGGAGAAGGAGAAGAAAUAUAUAUCCUUGGGGUACACAAAAGAAACUAUCAUCAGAGGGAACAGGCAACCUAGAGAAUGGGAGAAAAUUUUUGCAAUAUACCCAUCUGAUAAAGGGCUAAUAUCCAGAAUCUACAAAGAACUUAAACAAAUUUACAAGAAAAAAAACCAAUCCCAUCAAAAAGUGGGCAAAGGAUAUGAACAGACAUUUCUCAAAAGAAGACAUUUAUGCAG